rnacentral:lncRNA from 1 species
GAAUUGCUAGAAAAUCCCUAUUUGAUAACUCAUGGGUAAGGCUUACGGAAACACGAAACCAAAAGUUGUUGAUGAUGAUAAUACUGAUAGUGCAAAGCUUAAUUAUGACUAGCCAGCCCCAUUCAUAAUCAGUCCAUCAUUUCUAGAAAGAUUUACAAAAAUCAAAGAAAAAACAAGAUAAAGAGAUCCUAGACCUUUUUGCAAGGUC